AGUGAACGCUGGCGGUAGGCCUAACACAUGCAAGUCGAACGGCAGCACAGGAGAGCUUGCUCUCUGGGUGGCGAGUGGCGGACGGGUGAGGAAUACAUCGGAAUCUACCUUUUCGUGGGGGAUAACGUAGGGAAACUUACGCUAAUACCGCAUACGACCUACGGGUGAAAGUGGGGGACCGCAAGGCCUCACGCGAUUAGAUGAGCCGAUGUCCGAUUAGCUAGUUGGCGGGGUAAUGGCCCACCAAGGCGACGAUCGGUAGCUGGUCUGAGAGGAUGAUCAGCCACACUGGAACUGAGACACGGUCCAGACUCCUACGGGAGGCAGCAGUGGGGAAUAUUGGACAAUGGGCGCAAGCCUGAUCCAGCCAUACCGCGUGGGUGAAGAAGGCCUUCGGGUUGUAAAGCCCUUUUGUUGGGAAAGAAAUCCUGUCGAUUAAUACUCGGUGGGGAUGACGGUACCCAAAGAAUAAGCACCGGCUACCAUCGUGCCAGCCGCCGCCGUAA
rnacentral:rRNA from 1 species